rnacentral:Y_RNA from 1 species
UGGUCUGAUGGUAGUGGGUUAUCAGAACUUAUUAACAUUAGUGUCACUAAAGUUAGUAUACAACCCCCCACUGCUAAAUUUGGCUA